rnacentral:rRNA from 1 species
AUGGGAAAACCUAAUACGAUUGCUGUCAAUCCCAACCCUAACUCUUCCAGGUUCUGGAAGGGAUUCCAAUCUAUUAUUCAAAACCUUAAGUUUGGUUUUAGAUGGAAAGUGGCCAGUGGAGAGAGAGUCAGAUUCUGGGAAGACACCUGGUUCGGGACAUCACCACUAGCUACCCAAUUCUGAUCUAUUUACGUUGUUUGCAAUGAGCAAACUAAAACUAUUAAAGAGGUGUGGGAUGGAGAAACCCUCAGACUGACCUUUAGGAGAAAUUUUGAUAGCAAGCUCAUGGAGCAAUGGUACUAG